rnacentral:rRNA from 1 species
GGCCGCAGUAUUUUGACUGUGCAAAGGUAGCAUAAUCAUUAGUCUUUUAAUUAGAGGCUGGAAUGAAUGGUUGGACGAGGUAAAUAUCUAUCUUAUAAUAAUUAAAUUUUGAAUUUAGAAGUUAAGUAAAAAUACUUAAAUAGUGUUGAGGGACGAGAAGACCCUAUAGAGUUUAAUAUAUUGAAUGUUAAUUGAGUUUAAUAAUGUAAUUUUUGGUUAAUACAUCAUAUGUAUUUGGUUGGGGUGACUAAAAGAUAAAAAUAACUCUUUUUUAUAAUAAAUAAUUUAAGUAAGUAAGAGAUCCACAAAUAGUGAUUUUAAGAUUAAAUUACCUUAGGGAUAACAGCAUAA